GGGCGUACCUUUUGCAGAAUGAGCCUGCGAGUUAUUAGUGUUGGCAAGGUUAAGUGUUUUAGACACGCAGCCGGAGGGAAACCGAGUCCGAAUAGGGCGUCAAGUCAGCAUUAGUAGACUCGAAACCGCGUGAUCUAGCCAUGGCCAGGUUGAAGUGUUGGUAACACAACAUGGAGGACCGAACUCAUUGACGUUGAAAAGUCUCGGGAUGAGCUGUGGUUAGUCCGGUGAAAUGCCAAUCGAACGCGGAGAUAGCUGGUUCUCCCCGAAAUGCAUUUAGGUGCAGCGUUAGGCGUUGUUUAUUGGGGGUAGAGCACUGAAUGGGCUAGGGGGCUUACCCGCUUACCGAACCCAACCAAACUCCGAAUACCAUUAAAUAAGCCUGGCAGUGAGACAGCGAGUGAUAAGAUCCGUUGUCAAAAGGAGAACAAUCCAGAUCGACAGCUAAGGGCCCUAAACACGUGCUAAGUGUAAAACGAUGUGAGAUCGCGUAAACAGCCAGGAGGUUGGCUUGGAAGCAGCCACCCUUUAAAAAGUGCGUAACAGCUUACUGGCCGAAUGUGAUCUUGCGCGGACAAUGUAUGGGGGCUAAAGCACGUUCCCGAAGCUUCGGGAUUUAUGAUUAGAUUCAUAGAUCGGUAGGGGAGCGUCGUGUUCAGCAGUGAAGCUAUAGUGGAAGCAAUGGUGGAGCGGACACGAGUGAGAAUGCAGGCAUGAGUAGCGAUAAGACAGGUGAGAAUCCUGUCCGCCGAAAACCCAAGGUUUCUCCGGCUAUGUUCGUCAGACGGAGGUUAGGCGGUCCCUAAGGUGAGGCCAGAAGGCGUAGCCGAUGGACAUCCAGUAGACAUUCUGGACCCGGGUUUAUCAGCCAUGGGAGGACGCUUCACGAUAUUCCAUCCCGCACUGUUGGUAGUUGCGGGCUAGGCAAAGGUUUGGCUAGUUGAAAGACUAGCGUAAUGACUAAUGCCGGGGAAGGGAACUCUUCGGAGUGAACGAACUGGAAUUGAGGGGGGCCGAGAAAAGCCCCACAGCAUUAAUGAUAAAUUCGACCGUACUGUAAACCGACACAGGUGGGUGAGUCGAGGAGACUAAGGCGUUCGAGAGAACUCUCGUUAAGGAACUAGGCAAAUGAGCCCCGUAACUUCGGGAUAAGGGGCGCCAGCGCAAGCUGGCCGCAGCGAAGCAGCCCAGGCGACUGUUUACCAAAAACACAGGUCUCUGCUAACACGAGAGUGGAUGUAUAGGGGCUGACGCCUGCCCAAUGCCAGUAGGUUAACAGGAGAUGUCAGGAGUAAUCCGAAGCAUUGAAUCGAAGCCCUGGUGAAUGGUGGCCGUAACUCUAACGGUCCUAAGGUAGCGAAAUUCCUUGUCGGCU
rnacentral:rRNA from 1 species